rnacentral:rRNA from 1 species
UACGAAGGGUGCAAACGUUGCUCGGAAUUAUUGGGCGUAAAGCGCACGUAGGCGGCUUAGCAAGUCGGAAGUGAAAUCCCACGGCUCAACCAUGGAAGUGCUUUCGAAACUGCUGAGCUUGAGUACGAAAGAGGAUCGCGGAAUUCCCGGUGUAGAGGUGAAAUUCGUAGAUAUCGGGAGGAACACCAGUGGCGAAGGCGGCGUCUGGGUCGAUACUGACGCUGAGGUGCGAAAGCGUGGGGAGCAAACAGG